rnacentral:lncRNA from 1 species
GGUAGUGUGGGAGGGGUUGGGAGGAUCCGGUUGGGGUGGGCAGCUACAAUAAGAUUGUUCUCUUGGUAAAUGCAAUCAUCGCGAACUUAGUGUAACAUGUUUUAUAUAUAUAUAUAUAUAUAUAUAUAUAUAUACCGAUUAAUUCUAUUGUUACAGUUCUGGUGUUAAAUAUGUGUAACUUUAUAGAAACAGCCGGAUUUAUUUAAGUGGAUGAAGAUGUUAUAUGGUAAUUAAGUCCCUGAUGUUGAAAUACUGUAUUACGGUAUACAGUGUAUUAUGAUAAAGGUAGUUUUGUUCACUAGAGUCGCAGCUUGGUAAGAGUGACCCCUGGUGGGACAACCAGGCAUCCCCAGUGUGUACUACAGUACUAAGAUGUGAUAUAUUGACCUACCUGAAGACCGUAGUCCGCUUUUUUUAUACAAACAGUUGUUGUGGGAACGAGCCAUCACUACUUCGCCCAUGCUUGUUGAUACGCUUACAGUGGCAGGUGUUGCCCGGGCCCCAUCACCAACACUGGUAGGUCAGUGUUCCCUUCUAAACGAGUCUUCACAAAAUUACCGAUGGUCACUCAACAGUCUCUGUGUAAUUGUUUCAGCAUUUUGGCAGCCAUCUUUGUGACGUAGCUUAUGUGAACCGAUUAAAAAUGCUUUCCGUCAUCGUCGUUUCCAGGAAGGAAGAUUCGCCGUCGGGAGGGAGACACUGGGCGUUCACUCGACCUGUCAGGUACUGUGCCGACCCGCGCGGCGUCCUCAGGUACACAACACAGUUUAACCCUUUAGAGGCCAGCCGUACACUGAGGUAUUUUAUUCUGGCCAACACCAAAUGAAUAUAUUCACCCGAGAGAAACACCUGACCUCUCAAGGGUUAAGUCAGCUUUUACAAAGAACAUGUGUGUCAGGCGGUGUCAAAGAGUGUGUCGGGCGGUGUCAAAGAGUGUGUCAGGCGGUGACAGAGUGUGUCGGGCGGUGUCAAAGAGUGUGUCGGGCGGUGUCAAAGAGUGUGUCGGGCGGUGUCAAAGAGUGUGUCGGCGGUGUCAAAGAGUGUGUCAGGCGGUGUCAAAGAGUGUGUCAGGCGGUGUCAAAGAGUGUGUCGGGCGGUGUCAAAGAGUGUGUCAGGCGGUGACAGAGUGUGUCGGGCGGUGUCAAAGAGUGUGUCGGGCGGUGUCAAAGAGUGUGUCGGGCGGUGUCAAAGAGUGUGUCGGCGGUGUCAAAGAGUGUGUCGGGCGUUGUUAAAGAGUGUGUCGGGCGGUGUCAAAGAGUGUUUCUGGCGGUGUCAAAGAGUGUGUCGGCGGUGUCAAAGAGUGUGUCGGGCGGUAUCAAAGAGUGUCGGGCGGUGUCAAAGAGUGUGUCGGGCGGUGUCAAAGAGUGUCGGCGGUGUCAAAGAGUGUGUCGGGCGGUGUCAAAGAGUGUGUCGGCGGUGUCAAAGAGUGUGUCGGGCGUUGUUAAAGAGUGUGUCGGGCGGUGUCAAAAGAGUGUGUCGGCGGUGUCAAAGAGUGUGUCGGGCGGUGUCAAAGAGUGUGUCGGGCGGUGUCAAAGAGUGUGUCGGGCGGUGUCAAAGAGUGUGUCGGGCGGUGUCAAAGAGUGUGUCGGGCGGUAUCAAAGAGUGUGUCGGGCGGUGUCAAAGAGUGUGUCAGGCGGUGUCAUAAAAGGCUGUUGGUAAAUAAACCCAACAGCACUGAGAGUCAGCUGACAGAAAACGUAUGGUAGACUUUGCUCAAUAAGACAAAUUUUUAAUGGUUGGCUGUGGGUGAACUAUGGAGGUAUGGGCCGGCAAAUAUAGGCUGUGGGAGGCGCUGAAGGAACAUUGAGCCUCACCUCCACCUUCUAGUACCACAGUGGUGAGUGAGUGAAUGAAGCGUGGCCACAGUCUACAAUUCUGAAUAUUAUGACGUUUUAUUUUGAAUUCUGAUUUGUAAUUCAGGUUGUUUGUGCUGCAUGCUAGAGGGGGAGAGCAGUGCAGACGUAUACGGCGACAGUACGGGUAUAGUGGAGUCUGUGAUGAGAGGUUUGGUAGACCCAGGGUGUCAGGUGGGUCGUGCCUGCCAGAGGGCCAAGAGAGAGUGUGAGGUUGACCAUCCGUGUGUGGGUGAUAAACAAACAUACAUCUGUACAGCCUCAUGGCGGAGGUUUUUACCAAUUCAAGACGCUUAUCAUGCCUAAUCGUAAGGACUAUUAUUGUCAUAUCUGUUCGUUGAAUAGAUCUUGUAUAACCUUGGUGUCCUAUAAAUAAAGGAUAUUUUCCAUGUAUAUCGUUGUAAUGUCAUAUAUUUGUAAGCAUUAACAUGUUAUCGUGUGAGGUGUCUCAAUACCGCGAGCUUUGCUGAAGACAAGUAAGGAAGCUGACCUGACCCUGUCGUCAGUGUUCCCGCUAACCCUCACCACGGGAGUGACUACAUCUCCACACAACAAAUCAACCUUUUAUCUUUUAAUAAACGUGAAUUCAUUUUAUCAUAACAGUUAAUCGCUAAGGUGAUCCCAGGUGUGAAAUCACCGCAUUCGGUGUGUGUGUGAAGCGGGUGUGUGGAGUUGGUGUCUGUCCUCCUCACCUAAAAUAUCUGGUCUUAGAAUAAAUAAGAGUUUAGAGUUUGUCUUACAAUGGUAAAUAUAAUAACGAGAAAGAAAAAAAAAUUGUUUUUUUUUUCAUAAAAUGAAUCACAAAUUAGACCAGUAACAACUACUUACGUUUAUGAAGAAGAAAAAUAUUGAAAAUGUGCAAGUUGAGCACAUUGUGUGCCAUUAAUUAUAUUGGUAAUCAUAAUUCUGUUGUGUGUUGACCAACAGUGUGAACCACGUAAGGACGUUCUGGGUCACUUGCCUCACCAAUGUAAGGCGGGUACGUGUGCUCCAGCUCCACACCUUACUGUGUUUACGGUAGAUGAAGGAGGACUUUCACCUCACCUCCCCGCCCGCCUCACAACCCUCCACAUGAACACGUCCUUUAUGCAAAGGUUGUUGUCAUCAGGUGUUUACUCGCUAAAGGUCGGUCAAACCAGCGUUUCCGUCUAAUGUACAUAUUGUUUCUGAUGUACCACGACACCAGGAGGCUUGUGGCCGCCACCCACCUCUAGUCACUGUACAGGCUUUACUAUCCCUCUGGCUCUAGGCUCUCAUAACCAAAGUCUUCUACACUAAUGACCUUUUUCGUCAUGCGUGACAUACGUUCUUCUCUCUCACCUGUACUUGGUGAGCCACUACUUCAGUGAACCUUGUUAGGAGUCUUUCUUAUUAACAUGGUAUUAUUGUUAUUAUUAAGAUAUACCUAUGUUAAACUCUCUCUCUCUCUCUCUCUCUCUCUCUCUCUCUCUCUCUCUCUCUCUCUCUAAUAAUCUUCAUUGGAUGAAUCCCUAAAUUCACGGCUUCAUGAACCCAGAGAACUCAGUGUUUCGACUGAUCUCGUGGACACUUGGAAACUUUUUCUAGCUGGUAAACUUAAGUUGUUGACGAGGAGAGGUGAACGGGAGAGACCAGAGGCGACCCUCACCACGAGCCCUGGCCAUGACCACACCACAUUAUAGCCAACCCAACAUAAUCAAAUAGUAAUGGAACCUAACCUGGUCCAAAUAUCAAUGAGACCUCUGUUUGGUUAGGUUAGGUUAGGUUUGGUGUUUUGGUUUGGUUGUUAGGAGAGAUUUAGAGCAUGGAUCACAUAAUCUAACCUAACUUAACCUAGGUCAAGCUUAUUAGCUGUAAAACACAAAUAUCUGUUAGGUCGCCGAGUGGUGUUAGUUCAGGCGUCAGGGAGAGGUAAGCGUUACAGGGACUCAGAGUCAACAUUAUCUUGCCGGGAUGCUCUCAACAGUGUGGUGUGACCCUGACCAGACUGGAUGGUGAGGUGGUACCGUGGUGGCCCCAAUCACACCUGGGCAGCCUGCGGGGUGUGUGUGUGUGUGUGUGUGCGCGCUUCACCACCCCUGACGUAAGAGUCCUGCAGCCGAGAAACUUUACCUUUGAUGCAGUUGUUUAUUUUUAUACAACACACGCUUUGCCAUGAUCAUAUGACGAGAUUUAUGUCCAUAGUUUCUAUCUAGUCCGAAACUUGUUAAAAAAUAAAUAAAUAAAUAAAAGUACAUUCCGCACCCAUUGACUUCGUAGGGUACGAACGGUCGACUCGAAGCUUCAGAAUAGCGUUCAAAGAUAUUAUUAACAUAUUAUUGGUACCUGUAUGACAAGUAUUAUUAAACGAGAGACGCUCAAUGAGGCUGCUACUUGUCACAUACUCAAGUUUUAGUGUUAAUUAAUUUUAGGGUUUCUCGAGCAAGAGGAGUCUCGAGGUUGUUAAGGGAGGCAUUGAAGCUAUGAGGAAUCUUUAUCUCCCUCUCACACCUACAAGACGGGUGGAUGGUGAUCUCUUCACUUUAUUUCGUUAUCACAGGCUCUGGCGUCACACGGAGUCGUAUAUAUAGUACAGUAUAAGUCGAGUAUUUUUUUGUUGUUAUUUUACGCUCGUUGUCGCUUCCAGAUAACAGACUAAAUUUCCUGAUAUCUCUUGCAGAUUAUCUUAAGCUAGCCAGAGUUAUCACGGGUUAUCAUAAUGUCAUCUUAAAGACUUUAUAAAGGGGGGUCACCUUGAGUUACAUCAGGCCAUACAGUCUCACCGGAACACUUGAAAUAUGAACUAAGACAUCCUGACCUAUAUUUUUAUACCCGUAAAUUUAUAAUAAAAUAAUAUAUCCUAAUUGACUGUAAGAGAGUAAUUUAACCAGAGGAAAACAAACAAUGUUGUAAAGUUGUAAAGCAAUUGUUGUUGUUGUUUUGUUUAUUUCCUUGUUGAUGUCUGAUGAAUUAAGUAAACAUCCAUUAUGAGGUGCGGCCAUCUUGGAGCAGCGAUGACAAAGUGGCCGCUACACUGUGAAGAAGAUUCUAUUGUUUCUGUGUAUCAAAGGCAACAAUCAAACAUUCAUUAUAAACCUUUAGUUAUAAAUAUAUAUAUAAUUAUCA